rnacentral:rRNA from 1 species
UACGGAGGGUGCAAGCGUUAUCCGGAUUUAUUGGGUUUAAAGGGUCCGUAGGCGGGCUCAUAAGUCAGUGGUGAAAUCCUGCAGCUCAACUGUAGAACUGCCAUUGAUACUGUGAGCCUUGAAUUUGGUUGAAGUGGGCGGAAUAUGACAUGUAGCGGUGAAAUGCUUAGAUAUGUCAUAGAACACCGAUUGCGAAGGCAGCUCACUAAGCCUGGAUUGACGCUGAUGGACGAAAACGUGGGUAGCGAACAGG